CUCCCCAGCCAGCUCCAAAACACGCCGCGUGCCGCACAGAGCGGCUCCUCGCCCCACGCCUAGAGGGAACGGAGAGGCCAAGGGGCGCCCGAGGGCAGCCCGGGGGUAGCAGCGCGCUCUCCCCGCCGCAGGACCGCCGCCUCAGCAGCGCACUGAGGAGGGGGCGGGAUCGCGCGGCCCAAAGCCCCCGGCUGUGUAAACCCAAGACCCCAGCAGGGGCCCGCGUUGCGAGGAGGCCGAGCUCCCCUUCCCCACCCCGCGCAGGGCCUCGCGCUCCAGCCCUCCCGCGGCCGGUAUCCGGCCGUCCCCGCGCCGCCGGGCAGCGGCCGCUCCCACACCCCACAGCCGUGACGGGACCCGGCGCGCGGAGCGGUCCCACCACCGAGCGGGCAGCACAGCCGCGGCGAGGCCUCGCCCUACCCCCCCGCCAACCCCGGCCGUUGCUCUCACCCGUCCAUCGCCGAGCAGGACAAAGCGCUGACCAGCGGGACGGAGAGCCGCACAACCAACGAGCACGGAGAGCCUGCGAGAAAAUGGCGGCGGGGCCUGCACGGAAAUUGCCGAACGUCGCCGAGUACCGGAAUCCGCUCCUCGUCCUUCGCCGCCACGGAGCAUGCGCCGGAGUCUCGAGCGCGCGCAGUACACGUCCCUGAAGCUUCUGCCAUCAGCUGCUCAGAGCCUGCCCGGCCUCGGGCGGGAACGGGGCGCGGCCGCGGCUCAGCGCGCUGGACCGAGCUGUGAAGGGUCCUGUCGCUGUCACCAGAGAACAGAGCUCAGCACUGCCCAGGAGCUGCAGCUGCCAUGAGGCCUCCCCUCAGCUUCCUCUGCUCUGGACUGAGAAAACCCAGGAACCUCAGCCAUUCCUCGCUGAAUGCCCUGCAGUGCUCUGCACUGGAGUGUGGUGAGCACAGCAGAAUCCACGUCAAUCUCAUGAGGAGAGGCAGCACAUCUGAGAUGCACCACAGCUUAACAGCACUACCCCAGUAUCUUAAAAUCUGAUGUUGC